rnacentral:rRNA from 1 species
AGAGUUUCGAUCCUGGCUCGAGGACGAACGCUGGCGGCGUGCUUAACACAUGCAAGUCGAACGGAAAGGCCCCUUUGGGGGUACUCGAGUGGCGAACGGGUGAGUAACACGUGAGUAACCUGCCCUUGACUUCGGGAUAACUUCAGGAAACUGGGGCUAAUACCGGAUAGGAAUCCUUGCUGCAUGGUGGGGGUUGGAAAGCUUCGGCGGUUUUGGAUGGACUCGCGGCUUAUCAGCUUGUUGGUGGGGUAGUGGCUUACCAAGGCUUUGACGGGUAGCCGGCCUGAGAGGGCGACCGGCCACAUUGGGACUGAGAUACGGCCCAGACUCCUACGGGAGGCAGCAGUGGGGAAUAUUGCACAAUGGGCGGAAGCCUGAUGCAGCAACGCCGCGUGCGGGAUGACGGCCUUCGGGUUGUAAACCGCUUUCAGCAGGGGCGAAGCUUGUGGUGACGGUACCUGCAGAAGAAGCACCGGCUAACUACGUG